rnacentral:rRNA from 1 species
UUGGAGGGCAAGUCUGGUGCCAGCAGCCGCGGUAAUUCCAGCUCCAAUAGCGUAUAUUAAAGUUGUUGCAGUUAAAAAGCUCGUAGUUGAACUUCGGGGUCUACCCAUUGGUCAGGCUUAAUUGUCUGCACUGGUGAGAUGGAUCUCUACCUUCUGAGGAACUUUCAUGCCAUUUAUUUGGUGUGGUUGGAAAUCAGGACUGUUACUUUGAAAAAAUUAGAGUGUUUAAAGCAGACUAUCGUCUGAAUACAUUAGCAUGGAAUAAUGAAAUAGGACGGACUGAUUCUAUUUCGUUGGUUUCUAGGAUCACCGUAAUGAUUAAUGGGGAUGGUUGGGGGCAUUAGUAUUCAAUUGUCAGAGGCGAAAUUCUUGGAUUUAUUGAAGACUAACUACUGCGAAAGCAUUUGCCAAGGAUGUUUUCAUUAAUCAAGAACGAAAGUUAGGGGAUCGAAGACGAUCAGAUACCGUCGUAGUCUUAACCAUAAACUAUGCCGACUAGGGAUCGGACGAAGUUAAUUUUAUAAUGACGCGUUCGGCGCCUUACGGGAAAC